rnacentral:rRNA from 1 species
UACGUAGGGUGCGAGCGUUGUCCGGAAUUAUUGGGCGUAAAGAGCUUGUAGGCGGUUUGUCGCGUCUGCCGUGAAAAUCCGGGGCUCAACCCCGGACUUGCAGUGGGUACGGGCAGGCUAGAGUGUGGUAGGGGAGACUGGAAUUCCUGGUGUAGCGGUGAAAUGCGCAGAUAUCAGGAGGAACACCGAUGGCGAAGGCAGGUCUCUGGGCCACUACUGACGCUGAGAAGCGAAAGCAUGGGGAGCGAACAGG